rnacentral:tRNA from 1 species
GGGGCUGUAGCUCAGCUGGGAGAGCACCUGCCUUGCACGCAGGGGGUCGCCGGUUCGAAUCCGACCAGCUCCACCA